rnacentral:miRNA from 1 species
UCUCCCAACCCUUUUCCCA